CCUACGGGUGGCAGCAGUCGAGAAUCAUUCACAAUGGGGGAAACCCUGAUGGUGCGACGCCGCGUGGGGGAAUGAAGGUCUUCGGAUUGUAAACCCCUGUCAUGUGGGAGCAAAUUAAAAAGAUAGUACCACAAGAGGAAGAGACGGCUAACUCUGUGCCAGCAGCCGCGGUAAUACAGAGGUCUCAAGCGUUGUUCGGAAUCACUGGGCGUAAAGCGUGCGUAGGCUGUUUCGUAAGUCGUGUGUGAAAGGCGGGGGCUCAACCCGCGGACGGCACAUGAUACUGCGAGACUAGAGUAAUGGAGGGGGAACCGGAAGUCGCGGGGUAGCAGUGAAAUGCGUAGAGAUCGAGAGGAACACUCGUGGCGAAGGCGGGUUACUGGACAUUAACUGACGCUGAGGCACGAAGGCCAGGGGAGCGAAAGGGAUUAGAUACCCCUGUAGUC
rnacentral:rRNA from 1 species